UACUAGCCCAAUGCUCUUCCAACUGAGCUACGCGGUCAGGUCAGGUCCUGACCGCAUAGCUCAGUUGGAAGAGCAUUGGGCUAGUA